GAUGAACGCUGACAGAAUGCUUAACACAUGCAAGUCUACUUGAAUUUGGGUUUUUUAACUUAGAUUUGGGUGGCGGACGGGUGAGUAACGCGUAAAGAACUUGCCUCACAGCUAGGGACAACAUUUGGAAACGAAUGCUAAUACCUGAUAUUAUGAUUAUAAGGCAUCUUAGACUUAUGAAAGCUAUAUGCGCUGUGAGAGAGCUUUGCGUCCCAUUAGCUAGUUGGAGAGGUAACGGCUCACCAAGGCGAUGAUGGGUAGCCGGCCUGAGAGGGUGAACGGCCACAAGGGGACUGAGACACGGCCCUUACUCCUACGGGAGGCAGCAGUGGGGAAUAUUGGACAAUGGACCAAGAGUCUGAUCCAGCAAUUCUGUGUGCACGAUGACGUUUUUCGGAAUGUAAAGUGCUUUCAGUUGGGAAGAAAAAAAUGACGGUACCAACAGAAGAAGUGACGGCUAAAUACGUG
rnacentral:rRNA from 1 species